rnacentral:rRNA from 1 species
GAUGAACGCUGGCGGCGUGCCUAAUACAUGCAAGUCGAGCGAACGGACGAGAAGCUUGCUUCUCUGAUGUUAGCGGCGGACGGGUGAGUAACACGUGGAUAACCUACCUAUAAGACUGGGAUAACUUCGGGAAACCGGAGCUAAUACCGGAUAAUAUUUUGAACCGCAUGGUUCAAAAGUGAAAGACGGUCUUGCUGUCACUUAUAGAUGGAUCCGCGCUGCAUUAGCUAGUUGGUAAGGUAACGGCUUACCAAGGCAACGAUGCAUAGCCGACCUGAGAGGGUGAUCGGCCACACUGGAACUGAGACACGGUCCAGACUCCUACGGGAGGCAGCAGUAGGGAAUAUUCCGCAAUGGGCGAAAGCCUGACGGAGCAACGCCGCGUGAGUGAUGAAGGUCUUCGGAUCGUAAAACUCUGUUAUUAGGGAAGAACAUAUGUGUAAGUAACUGUGCACAUCUUGACGGUACCUAAUCAGAAAGCCACGGCUAUCUACGUG